rnacentral:lncRNA from 1 species
AGGGACAGCGUCUGGAGACCCUGCAGGGAACUGCUUCUGUCUCCUGCCGGUGCCUCUCGCGCUGGGUCGUCACUGUCGACACAGCGUUCUCUUUCGCUUGCCCUGUUCCUUCCGCGGAGGACGGUUCUUCUUCUCUCUGCCGGUCCGACCAGCGCGCCUGAGCCUGGCUCCUCUCGCGCGCCUCGCCUGGCUUUCGCCCGCGAGGCUUCACGGGCUUCACACGCACCAGGUGAAGAGCCGCAGAAAGGCGCAGCGUCUCCUCGAAGUCUCGAAAUCGAUAUGGAGGAAGCAGCAGACAGUCCAGCGCCUCGUCCAAGUCAGCUUGGGUCGGACAAGGUUCUUCCUCUUCGUCAUGCAGACGCAGCCUCGCCGUCUCACCUUCCCGGAGUGCCGAGUCAACGGCGACAAGAGUGGAGGAGAGAGGAGAGGAGGAGACAGGUCCAUCUCGCGUCACCCGCGCAAGAGCGAGGAGACCAACAAGACGUUCCUCAAGCUUGUGAGCAGCACGGACGUCGUCGACAGAUAGGUCGAGACUGCGCGUCGACGGCGCGGCGCCAGAAGAGGAGACACUCUCAGGCGGGGGACCGACUCUCGCGUGAGGCGCUCCCCCCUCGCUGCAGGAGACACCUGGCGUCUCUCCGGGCGCCCCAGAGACAAGCCCGGCGGGCAGGGAUCCUGGGCGAGAGACAGAGGCCUCCGGAAGCCGUCCCGCGUCGGGGGGGACGAGGAGACAGAGGGGUGCAUGGAGUUUUCGCGUGCAGUCGUAGGCCAGGAAUUGGAGACGGCUAAAGAGACGCGAAGUUGCCCAAAUGAACUCGAGACUGCGUUCGAGGUCUUCAGCGCGCAGCUGCUCUCGGCCGCCCAUCUUCCCUCUGCGCGUUGACGCAUCUCGUCUUAUAUACGAACACACCAGCUGCGCUACAGAGACGCCGAGCGGCGAAACGGGCGAGGGAGCAGAGAGACGCGCUUCUUUCCCCGGCGUCACAGGCGCGCAGACCGGCUCCCCCGACCGCGCGUCCUUCUGGCGGAAGAAGCGCAGCACGGGACUGUCUCCAAGUGGAAGCGGAGGUGUCUCCUCUCGAACAGGCGCAGGGGCUCGCGCGAGCUCUGGAGGGAGAGGCGCAUGCGGCGGGCGCGGCGCCGGGAGUGGCGACGCGCCAGCGACGAAGGCCGAGGGACUCCACAGGGGCAUGAGCGCAGCGAGGAACUGCUCGGAGGCUGGGUGUCUCUCUUCGGCCAGUUGGAGAAGGUGAGGAGUGACGACUACCAGCGCUGGGUGGCGAUCCAGGAAACGCGCGAGCCGCACAAGGCGACGAACGGAAGAGAGAACGAGCGUUGGCGGUCCACUAGAGGAGACGGAGGUGGAGGCGGCGGCAGACGAAGAAAAAGCGCCAGUGGAGGACCGGGCGAAAGAGAGCGAAGCGGGGGACAAGGCAGCGUCGACCGGGCGAGGCGAAAGGUACCAAGUCGACUGGAGAAGACAGACGCGAGAACGCGCGAAGGCGGCAAAAGAAGAGAAGGAACGAGGAACGCGGACUGGAGGAGAAGACCGCGAAGGACGGCGCCGCCACUCAUCUGACGGCGCAGACGCGUCAGAUUGCGCGUCGAUAUCUGAACACCCGGAGAGGGCGCGGAGGUCUUCCCUGUCUUUGUCGCAUGCUCCUCCAGGCGACGUAUCUGCGGCACACGACCCUCUUGAGUCGCCUAGACACCGCAGGACUCUGCGGCGACGCAGCGAGACAAAGUUCUCGCUCGUUUGCGGAGCGGAGCAUCGCUGACAACCAGAGGGGAACGACGAUCGAGAAUAAAACAGAGAUGGAGAAUCAAGUGUGGACUGAGAAGGAAACAAAGACUCAGAGGAUAGCGAACGAGACAAAGAGAGGCAUGAAUUGGACGAAGUCUCCGGAUCAGCUCGAGUCGCGACGCCUCGCGGUGCAUUCAGUGAGCACCCCGAGUCUGACCGAGUAAAGAUGUCGGAGAACCGCGGUAGACAUUGGAACGGAAAGCGAAGGAAAGCCUUCCUCGGAGAGUCUUUUUUGCCGGCGAAAACGACGCUUGAGAUUCUCGCGGCUGCCAAGCCGCUGCCGCGAAGGGUCGCCAUAGGCAGGCGACGCUAAAAGCUUCUAUGUCUGGUGCUCCACGCACGAGUCGACAAAUUAUUAAGACUCCAGCGUCCAAGCAAACAUACAGAAAGGCCUUGAAACCCAACACACUGGGCUCUCUCGAGGUGUCCAGCGGGUGGCGAUGCACUGCAGGAAUUCAGAACUUGGCCGUGCGGAUUUCGUGAGUCGCAAUCCGUAUCCUAGGUAAGCUUCAGUGUCGAGAACCGUAAAUAACAUUCUUUUUCUGUAUCUGAUGAGGUUUUUUCACUGUCCUAGGUCCUGUGCAUACAGCGGAAGUCCAGCGCGGUACCGGGACUUCAUGGACGAACGCAGGGAUGGUUUCACUCCUAAUUCCUGCAGCUUGGAUAAACAACACCCGAGGAGUUCGUUUUCGAGUCAAGGCUGCGCUUUGGAUGUUUGCAUGGCGUCGGAUGCUCCCUUGUGGCGCCUGCCAGUCGGAGAAAUGUCGCUAAACACGACAUGUGCUCCGGUAGCAGCAAAAACUCGAAAGAGUUUCAGCUGCAGGCGGCCAGUCAGUGAGGAGACGGAUCCGACAGAUCCGAAGGAAAGGGAAAAAGAGGCAAAGAAGGAACUCUCGAGAGUGAAAAGACCGGGGAAAAAUUCGAGAACGGGAGGUCAAUGUCAAUGAACGCGAUUGCGGCAGACUUAAAAGAGGCUGUGACACAAGGCUUCUGGCGAGGACAGAUGGAGAAACAAGCGGUUGAGAAAGCCCAAGAGGAGAAAUCGGGUCGUACCCUCAGUCGCAAAGCAGGUGGCAGAAACAGGAGUGAAAAAGACAGAGAGAAACGCGACAGAAAGGAGCGAAGUCCAGUCAAAAGCGAGACACAAGACGCGUGCUAUUUUUCUCAGCGUUUCGCAACUCGUGAUCCUCGCUUUUCGCCGUCGUGCCCGUCGCGUCCUGAGUGUCUCUGUGAAUGCUUUCGCAUAUUCUUUGCUUCCGGUUCGUUCCAAUCAACAAGACUGCACUUCUUCUCCUGGGCUGCCUCAGAAAUCUGCAGUGCCGGGUUCCGGCAGCGCCGACCAAGUCACCGUCGCAAAGUUUCCACCUGCUGCGGCAUUCAAGGAAACGGAGAGAGCGGAAGAAGCUGUGCCCGACGCGGGAAACCUCCUCCAGAGUUGCAUUCGUACGUUUUUCUAGAGCAGGCCGACAUCUUUAGGCUGCAGCGGUUGCACCUGAUUCGCCGCAGCAAGUCUCUCCCCUCAAGCUGCACGAUGUGUGUCCAGGUGUGCCGGAGGGUUACAUAGCUAGAUAGGAGAAAGGGGAUGAGCGCUGAGUGCAUCGCCGUUUGACUCUGCAAAUGAAGGUGUCAAGAUCCAAACGCAGGUUCGUCGAAACCCUUUGUGAAAAAAGUUCUUGCUAGCAGACGGUCCUCUGGUCUGUUGGGGUGUGUGUGCCAGCCUCAGUGCUGUGCUGUUGGUGAUCUGUGCCUCCACAUGGUUGACCAGAGCGUCAGAGCACAGCCGGUGAGGAAUAGCGAAGGUGUCGCAGGACAUUGUGCAUUCCAGCUGUUUUGCUGAGCAGGAUCGUGUGGUGAUGGUGUGCCCGGCUGUCACCCGCCGUGUUUAGUUUUGCUUUCGGAGGCGCGUCUCUGCAUCCCGUUAACCCACACAGCUCACAUGGCUUCUGGGACUGCACGAACGCGUGCUUUACAGCACUGCUGUUAGGCACCCCGCCACAGCGCGUCUCGACUUGUGGGUGCAAAUAGAGUAGUUCCAAAACCCAAACCCGCGGUCAUGCGGUAAUCCACUGCAGAGCUGCCUGUAUGGGCAUGCGCCGAUUGUCCUACAUUCUCCGCAGCGAGAGACGCGUGCGGUUAGCCGCGACAACAUCAGAUGUCAGCGCGUGUUUGAUGGCGCAAGCGUAGACAGAUGGUCAGAAUUCUACACGAGGCGUAGAUCAUCGGGUGCCUGGAGGUUUUUCACGUUGCGUGCAGUUGUAGGUAAAAGGCAUGUUAGAGACUCAGGCUACGGGUUGUUUUUCCCGCGGUCUACUGCGAAAAGGCAUAGGGUUCCCAUUCCCUAGAAAACACUGCUGUCACCUAGUUCGAAUCAGAGAUGACGAUGCC